rnacentral:rRNA from 1 species
CGCAGCCGCGGUAAUUCCAGCUCCAAUAGCGUAUAUUAAAGUUGUUGCAGUUAAAAAGCUCGUAGUUGAAUUUCGGGAUCAAUACGUCUGUCGUGCCUUUGGUACGUACGGGUGUAAUUGGUUUCUACCUUCUGAGGAUCCUUGAUGUCAUUAAUUUGGUGUCUUGGGGAAUCAGGACUGUUACCUUGAAAAAAUUAGAGUGUUUAAAGCAGGCAUACGCUUGAAUACAUUAGCAUGGAAUAAUGAAAUAGGACGUUCGAUUCUAUUUUGUUGGUUUCUAGGAUCGACGUAAUGAUUAAUAGGGAUAGUUGGGGGCAUUAGUAUUCAAUUGUCAGAGGUGAAAUUCUUGGAUUUAUUGAAGACUAACUACUGCGAAAGCAUUUGCCAAGGAUGUUUUCAUUAAUCAAGAACGAAAGUUAGGGGAUCGAAGACGAUCAGAUACCGUCGUAGUCUUAACCAUAAACUAUGCCGACUAGGGAUCGGAUGAUGUUAAUUUUUAAUGUACUCAUUCGGCGCCUUA